AUUGAACGCUAGCGGGAUGCCUUACACAUGCAAGUCGAACGGAGUGGCGAACGGGUGAGUAAUGUAUCGGAACGUGCCCAGUAGCGGGGGAUAACUACGCGAAAGCGUAGCUAAUACCGCAUACUAUUGGAGCGGCCGAUAUCGGAUUAGCUGUUUGGUGGGGUAACGGCCCCCCAGGGCGACGAUCCGUAGCUGGUUUGAGAGGACGAACAGCCACCCGGGGACUGAAACACCGCCCAGACUCCUACGGGAGGCAGCAGUGGGGAAUUGUGGACAGUGGGGGAAACCCUUGUCCAGCCAUCCCGCGUGUGCGAUGAAGGCCUUCGGGUUGUAAAGCACUUUUGGCAGGAAAGCGGUACCUGCAGAAUAAGCACCGGCUAACUACGUGCCAGCAGCCGCGGUAAUUC
rnacentral:rRNA from 1 species